rnacentral:rRNA from 1 species
GACGUAGGGCGCGAGCGUUUGUCCGGAUUUAUUGGGCGUAAAGAGCGCGCAGGCGGCUUGGUAAGUCGGAUGUGAAAACCCGAGGCUCAACCUCGGGCGUGCAUCCGAUACUGCUCGGCUAGAGGUAGGUAGGGGAGAUCGGAAUUCCUGGUGUAGCGGUGAAAUGCGCAGAUAUCAGGAGGAACACCGGUGGCGAAGGCGGAUCUCUGGGCCUUACCUGACGCUCAGGCGCGAAAGCUAGGGGAGCGAACUGG